UACGAAGGGGGCUAGCGUUGCUCGGAAUUACUGGGCGUAAAGCGCACGUAGGCGGAUUGUUAAGUCGGGGGUGAAAUCCUGGAGCUCAACUCCAGAACUGCCUUCGAAACUGGCGAUCUUGAGUCCGGGAGAGGUGAGUGGAACUGCGAGUGUAGAGGUGAAAUUCGUAGAUAUUCGCAAGAACACCAGUGGCGAAGGCGGCUCACUGGCCCGGUACUGACGCUGAGGCACGAAAGCGUGGGGAGCAAACAGG
rnacentral:rRNA from 1 species